CAGUUUGUUGGCCCCAAACCUGGAACAUAUGUGGGGAGAUUCAUCAUAGAGCGAUGGAAAAAAUUGAAGGUAACAUUAAUGCUGUGAAUGAGCAACGGAAAGAGAAGAUGCAGCCUCAGCUUGGUAUCGAUGUUUUCAAAUGGGAUGCUUGUCAUUUGCCACUUGCCAGUCACAGUGUAGAUGUUUUCAUCACUGACUUGCCGUUCGGGAAAAGGUUAGUAGAUCUUACUUUACUAAAAUCCUCUUCCUUAUUUAUCAUCCAACUUAGGCCAC
rnacentral:lncRNA from 1 species